rnacentral:rRNA from 1 species
UGUCUCGUAGUGACCUGCGGAGGGAUCAUUACAAGAACGCCCGGGCUUCGGCCUGGUUAUUCAUAACCCUUUGUUGUCCGACUCUGUUGCCUCCGGGGCGACCCUGCCUUCGGGCGGGGGCUCCGGGUGGACACUUCAAACUCUUGCGUAACUUUGCAGUCUGAGUAAACUUAAUUAAUAAAUUAAAACUUUUAACAACGGAUCUCUUGGUUCUGGCAUCGAUGAAGAACGCAGCGAAAUGCGAUAAGUAAUGUGAAUUGCAGAAUUCAGUGAAUCAUCGAAUCUUUGAACGCACAUUGCGCCCCCUGGUAUUCCGGGGGGCAUGCCUGUUCGAGCGUCAUUUCACCACUCAAGCCUCGCUUGGUAUUGGGCAACGCGGUCCGCCGCGUGCCUCAAAUCGUCCGGCUGGGUCUUCUGUCCCCUAAGCGUUGUGGAAACUAUUCGCUAAAGGGUGUUCGGGAGGCUACGCCGUAAAACAACCCCAUUUCUAAGGUUGACCUCGGAUCAGGUAGGGAUACCCGCUGAACUUAAGCAUAUCU